rnacentral:tRNA from 1 species
GGAGGCCCUUAGCUCAAUGGAACAGCAUCUGCUUUGCAUGCAGAAGGUCACAGGUUCAAUCCCCAACAUCUCCA